rnacentral:rRNA from 1 species
AUUGAACGCUGGCGGCAUGCUUUACACAUGCAAGUCGAACGGUAACAGGCCGCAAGGUGCUGACGAGUGGCGAACGGGUGAGUAAUGCAUCGGAACGUGCCCAGUCGUGGGGGAUAACUACUCGAAAGAGUAGCUAAUACCGCAUACGAUCUAUGGAUGAAAGCGGGGGACCGUAAGGCCUCGCGCGAUUGGAGCGGCCGAUGUCAGAUUAGGUAGUUGGUGGGGUAAAGGCUCACCAAGCCAACGAUCUGUAGCUGGUCUGAGAGGACGACCAGCCACACUGGGACUGAGACACGGCCCAGACUCCUACGGGAGGCAGCAGUGGGGAAUUUUGGACAAUGGGCGCAAGCCUGAUCCAGCAAUGCCGCGUGCAGGAAGAAGGCCUUCGGGUUGUAAACUGCUUUUGUGCGGAACGAAACGGCUCUGGUUAAUACCCGGGGCUAAUGACGGUACCGUAAGAAUAAGCACCGGCUAACUACGUG